ensembl:lncRNA
UUCACAGAAACCCAAUCAUCAGCAAAGAGGAAAACACACGCAAAAACAUCACGCAUACUCACAGAUACAUUGCACACAUGCUUAAUCGAUUACCAAGUAAUGCGUCCAAAUGUUUCUUGGUGACAAAACUCGGGGGACUGAUGCCACACAACCCAGCUGACUCACACCGGAGGACGGAGAAUCCCGGGCCGAGGGGCAGUGACUAUAUUUCCCAUGGAAAACUCCAGAAACAUCUCAAAGCCCUCUUUCUCUCUCACACCCCUGCUGAAAAAAAAGCUAGUUUGGACCAACUUAAAGUCACCAUGAAAUGGCAUUCGCAGCUCAGAUUUACUUACUUCAUGUGGUUGGAGGGGCUGGGUCAAAAAGCAAGAGGGAUUUGUGAUGUCAGCUGA